AUCCUGGCGGCGAGUGGCGAACGGGUGAGUAAUAUAUCGGAACGUGCCCAGUAGUGGGGGAUAGCCCGGCGAAAGCCGGAUUAAUACCGCAUACGACCUGAGGGUGAAAGCGGGGGAUCGCAAGACCUCGCGCUACUGGAGCGGCCGAUAUCAGAUUAGCUAGUUGGUGGGGUAAAGGCCUACCAAGGCAACGAUCUGUAGUUGGUCUGAGAGGACGACCAGCCACACUGGGACUGAGACACGGCCCAGACUCCUACGGGAGGCAGCAGUGGGGAAUUUUGGACAAUGGGCGCAAGCCUGAUCCAGCAAUGCCGCGUGCAGGAAGAAGGCCUUCGGGUUGUAAACUGCUUUUGUCAGGGAAGAAAUCUUCUGGGCUAAUACCCCGGGAGGAUGACGGUACCUGAAGAAUAAGCACCGGCUAACUACGUGCCAGCAGCCGCGGUAAUACGUAGGGUGCGAGCGUUAAUCGGAAUUACUGGGCGUAAAGCGUGCGCAGGCGGCUUUGCAAGACAGAGGUGAAAUCCCCGGGCUCAACCUGGGAACUGCCUUUGUGACUGCAAGGCUAGAGUACGGCAGAGGGGGAUGGAAUUCCGCGUGUAGCAGUGAAAUGCGUAGAUAUGCGGAGGAACACCGAUGGCGAAGGCAAUCCCCUGGGCCUGUACUGACGCUCAUGCACGAAAGCGUGGGGAGCAAACAGG
rnacentral:rRNA from 1 species